UCACUAAACUCAAAUAAAAUUUAUUAUCAAUCACUCAUAAAAUAUGUGAUAAAAUGUGGUAUUUGAUUUAACGUGGCAUUUCUGUCACGAGGUCAUUGAAACAGCAAAACAGAUGUUUAUCAGUUGUGAAGAUGUCUAAAGGGAAUGGCAGCAAGUAUUGGAAGUAUCCAGGUAGCACGUCAUUAUCAGGUAUGGAAUUUACCAGAAAAGAAAAUAACCGGAUUGAAUUCUUCAAUUCACAUUAGCUAACUACCAAGAAGACAGAAACUUACUGGUCCUUAAUCCGUUGUUUCCAAUAUCAUACAUUAGUUAAUACAUAUUAUACAAAAAUAUGUUCAAUUUUUAACGUAAACCAAUAAAUUGCUUUGGAUUGAAAA